GCCUACGGGGGGCAGCAGUAGGGAAUCUUCCACAAUGGGCGAAAGCCUGAUGGAGCAACGCCGCGUGGGUGAAGAAGGUCUUCGGAUCGUAAAACCCUGUUGUUAGAGAAGAAAGUGCGUGAGAGUAACUGUUCACGUUUCGACGGUAUCUAACCAGAAAGCCACGGCUAACUACGUGCCAGCAGCCGCGGUAAUACGUAGGUGGCAAGCGUUAUCCGGAUUUAUUGGGCGUAAAGGGAACGCAGGCGGUCUUUUAAGUCUGAUGUGACAGCCUUCGGCUUAACCGGAGUAGUGCAUUGGAAACU
rnacentral:rRNA from 1 species